CAAAAGGGAAGAAACUUAUCUCAUCAUCUUAUCUGUUUGAUAAAAAGGAAUCUGUUUCUCAUCAAGCAACAGUUUCAAUACGUGUAACUGAUGCUGUUGUUGUUGAAGUUGAUGAGAAUCGGGGUGACAAUGACUCAACAAGACCUGGAACUUCAAAACAAUUUUCGAGACCAACAACUAGUUCUGUAGAACCUCCACUGUCUACGCUUCUAUUAAGGCUUGAAACACUUACUAGAAAAGUAAUUAGAAUGGACUCAAAACUGGAUUACAUUAUCAAAGGUAAUUAUUUGCAAAAUUUUUCUAAACAUAUGGGC